rnacentral:rRNA from 1 species
ACGGGUGAGUAAUGCCUAGGAAUCUGCCUGGUAGUGGGGGACAACGUCUCGAAAGGGACGCUAAUACCGCAUACGUCCUACGGGAGAAAGCAGGGGACCUUCGGGCCUUGCGCUAUCAGAUGAGCCUAGGUCGGAUUAGCUAGUUGGUGAGGUAAUGGCUCACCAAGGCGACGAUCCGUAACUGGUCUGAGAGGAUGAUCAGUCACACUGGAACUGAGACACGGUCCAGACUCCUACGGGAGGCAGCAGUGGGGAAUAUUGGACAAUGGGCGAAAGCCUGAUCCAGCCAUGCCGCGUGUGUGAAGAAGGUCUUCGGAUUGUAAAGCACUUUAAGUUGGGAGGAAGGGUUGUAGAUUAAUACUCUGCAAUUUUGACGUUACCGACAGAAUAAGCACCGGCUAACUCUGUGCCAGCAGCCGCGGUAAUACAGAGGGUGCAAGCGUUAAUCGGAAUUACUGGGCGUAAAGCGCGCGUAGGUGGUUUGUUAAGUUGGAUGUGAAAGCCCCGGGCUCAACCUGGGAACUGCAUUCAAAACUGACAAGCUAGAGUAUGGUAGAGGGUGGGUGGAAUUUCCUGUGUAGCGGUG